GAGCAGGGAACUUGGAGAUAUGGGAAAAAAUCAAGUGCAUGGAAAGGGUGCUGUCACACUUGGGUAUGGUGCCCAGGACUGUGGGGUUUCCUCACCUCAAGGGUACAGUGGGGACAAAGCCAUAUGGAGGGAGGACAGCAGAGGAACAAUGGAAAGAUCCUGAGCUGCUGGCUCAGUGAACCCUGGAGCUGCCCUGCCUUGGGACUGUUCGAACUCUGUUUCGUGUGGAGCUAUUCCUUGUAUUUCAGCUUACCUGCUUACUAGUUUGCUAAAUCCAAGAAAGGCAAAAUUCUGGGUCUCAGUUUGGCCGUCUAUGAAAUGGGGAAAAAACACCUACCAGCAAGUCAUUUCUGAGAAGCAAGAUGCUGUAUGCAAAUUCCCUGAACAGAACUUGGCAGACUGUGCUUGCUUAGGAGCUCCUGGUUCCUGGUACCGCGGACAACAGUUCUAGUGGUUUCAAUCAAAAAUAACAACUGCCCAUUAUUUGAACAUGUGCUCUGCUUUCAUGCUUUACACACAUCAUCUCUACUCUUGACAGUAAUAAUUCAAGGAGAAUUAUGAAAGACAUACAAUUGUUUUGAAUUUCAAACCAAUUUACCUGUGUAACUAAAGAAGUGGUAAGAUGCUCAGUAGGAAAAAGUGGAAACUGACCCAGUGAAUGCCAGAACAGAGAGUGGAUCCAAUUACAGCUCUCCCUGGGACACAGAGCCCAGGACUGUUUUUCAAAUGAUCAAGUUUUUGAGAAGUUUGACCCUUCCUCUAACAGCCUGGUGGCCUCUUAUCUUAACCUGGAAAAAUCCCUCCAGGGUAUCACAGUUAAAAGCAACUUUCUCCUGGGCCGGGGAUUUAGCUUAGCGGCGCUGCACCUGGCUGGCAAGCAAAGGGCCCUGAGUUUGAUUCCCGGUACCAAAAAGAAAAAAACAAAAACUGUCAACAAAACCAAGUUUGUCCCAUUUGUGAGGUGUCAAUAUCAUGUCUGUGGUCAGCAAGUGGAAUUGAAGCAAAACUAAAUUUAAAAAAAAUUCCUCCCACAUAUUUAGAUUAAGUAUUUGCAUUAUCUCCGUCCUUUAACAUUUGUUCUAUAGCUGCCUCUUGCCAAGAGCUUGGUGGGUGAGUCCAGGCCUUUGUGCUCAGGGCAGCAAGAAUGAUGAGUGUCACACGGUGAGACUUGCAGAGCCCCAGACGCUUUCCCAGCACCCGGUGUGUGUCUGCAUGGGACACUGGGCGUACAAAAGUGAGGAGCAGGCUACCCGACCCUUACAGGCUUGCAGUCUGAGCAACAUAGAGUGAGAGAGAUAUAAUGCAGCCACAUGUAUAUGUAAUUUAAUUUUUUUCUAGCAGCCACAUAAAAACGAAACAGGGAACUUCCAUUUCAAAUGGAAAGGAG
ensembl:lncRNA